CAGUCGUGGCCGGCGGUGCCGGAGGCCAAAGACUCUCGUCGCGAGGGUAGUAGACGUGUGCGUCGCGUUUUCCGCCGGACCUCUUCCGCUCUCGGGUCUACUUAUCUGUGUCCUUCUUCUCCCUUUUCCCUUUUUCCAUCGGCUCCCGCGUCCCCGCCGACUUCUCCGCGACUACAUCGCCGCGAUACAUCUGAACGCCGCCGGCUUUUUAGACUGGCCGCGUGCCGCGUAUGCACCGCGUGCACUCGCAGCAGCCUCGCCGUCGACACCGCGACGACACGCUGCUGCUGCUCGUCCUCGUCGUCGGCCACCAUCGCCACCACGUCCUUGCGCCGUGCGUCGUGCACGUCGCCGACGACGACGACGGCGGCGACGACACCGCGGCGGAUCGCGAGCACCAGGGUGACGUUCAAGAGUGACGUGCAUCGUCGUCCUCUUCGAGGAACUAGGCGCCGAAUCCGGCCGUGCGUAGUAGACUACAGAAUCGAAGGAUGCUGGCCCGCUGCCUAAUCUUCGCAGGUGCAGCUGCUAUAAUAACGUCCGCGAGCGGGCACGGCUUCGACGCGCAUUUACGCGGACCUAGUUUCGUGGUGGAACCGCCGUCAAGGAUCGAGUUCUCAAAUUCCAGCGGCGCCUGGUUGGAUUGCACGGCCUCCGGAAGUCCGCCACCCAACAUUGACUGGUCCACCGCGGACGGACAUCCGGUGAACGAUGUGUCGGGCGUGCGGAGAGUGCUCAGAAAUGGUACUCUGGUGCUCUUGCCGUUUCCGGCCGCGGCCUAUCGACAGGACGUUCAUAGCGCCGCGUAUAGAUGCGUGGCGAGCAACCCCGUCGGCAGAGUUCUCAGCCGAGAUGUACAAGUCAGAGCAGUGGUGGCUCAAGCAUACAAAGUCGAUGUGGAGGUGACGGGGGGAGCAUCGAGGGGAUGCACCGCGAUAUUACGCUGCAUCAUACCUAGCUAUGUCAAAGAUUUGGUGCGCGUCGUAUCUUGGCUGCACGAGCCUUCGUCCUACAUAUAUCCCUCGCUACAAGGAGAUGGCAAGUUCCACCUGCUUCCCACGGGAGAGCUUCUGGUGCACAGCCUCGAGUUCAGCGACCAGCUGAACGGCUAUAGAUGCCGCACGAUGCACCGUCUCACGAGACAAGUGGUCGUUAGCUCUAUGGCCAACAUUAGGAUAGCAGAUCACAGAGGCGUAAUGCCUCCCGUGAUACUCGAAAACUCCGGCGUCGUUCACGUCGCCCAAGACGAAUCGACGUCAUUAGUCUGCGUGGCGCAAGCCUGCCCUUCACCUGAAUAUCGGUGGUACGCGCAAACAGGUGCGGAACCAAUGUUGGUGCUCUCCGGACCUAGAACUAGAUUACUUGGUUCUGUACUAGCCAUCGAGGCGGUAACAUUAGAGGACAGCGGUGUGUACCGCUGUUCUGCUUCUAAUCCUGGCGGCGAGGCGAGUGCCGAAAUUAGGUUAAUCGUGACGGCGCCUCUUCACGUGGAAGUGACGCCUCCGUUGCUCAGCGUUCACUUAGGAGGCAACGCCGAGUUCAGAUGCGAAGUUGGUACGCAUCCGCAAGCUGGGCCGCAUUUUAUCACGUGGUACAAGGACGGUAGGCAGCUCCCAGGAUCGGGGAGGCAAUCGGAAUUACUGAGGUUGAACGGAAUCGGAAGGGAUGAUCGCGGCAUGUAUCAAUGCAUUGUCAGAAGAUCGGAAGGCGAUACCGCUCAAGCGUCUGCGGAACUUCAAUUAGGCGACGCGCCACCGGUACUCCUAUACUCGUUCAUCGAGCAGACACUCCAGCCAGGACCCGCCGUAUCCUUAAAAUGUUCCGCCGCAGGAAACCCUACACCACAGGUAUCAUGGGCGUUGGACGGUUUUCCCUUACCGACUAAUGGAAGAUUUGUCAUUGGUCAAUACGUAACGGUGCACGGCGACGUCAUAUCCCAUGUCAAUAUAAGCCACGUUAUGGUGGAGGACGGAGGAGAAUAUUCCUGCACCGCCGAAAAUCGCGCGGGAAAAGUAACACAUGCUGCGCGACUGAAUGUUUAUGGACUUCCAUACAUACGCCUGAUCCCGAAAGUGACCGCCGUCGCCGGCGAGACGCUUCGUUUGAAGUGUCCCGUGGCUGGAUAUCCGAUCGAGGAGAUCAAGUGGGAGAAGUCGAGUCGCGAGUUGCCGGAUAAUCUGCGUCAGAAGGUACUUCCGGACGGCACCCUGAUGAUCAGCAGCGUGCAAAAGAAUGGCGACCCGGGCGUGUACACCUGUUGGGCGAGGAACAAGCAAGGUCACAGCGCCAGAAGAUCCGGAGACGUCGCGGUGAUCGUACCCCCUAUUAUUGAGCCAUUUACGUUCCAAGAGGGACUAUCCGAGGGGAUGCGGACGCGGACGGUGUGCGGGGUCGCGGCGGGAGAUCCACCCCUAACCAUAUCCUGGCUGAAAGAUGGUCAAAAUCCUUUUCCCCUGCCGCCGAAUCUGGCCUCCGUCGCAAACGUCUCCCAACUGGAUCCCUACUCGAGCCUCCUCAGUAUAACGAAUCUUGCGGCCGAGCACUCCGGCGACUAUACCUGCGUCGCCGCGAACCCCGCCGCCGAGGUCAGGUACACGGCCAAGCUACAGGUAAAAGUGCCACCCAGAUGGAUCGUCGAGCCGAUUGACGUGAGCGUCGAGAGGAAUCGCCACGUUGCUUUGCAUUGUCAAGCGCAGGGCGUCCCGACGCCGACGAUCGUCUGGAAGAAAGCCACCGGAAGCAAGGCCGGUGAUUACGAGGAGUUGCGUGAAAGAACGUAUACUAAAAUCCUCAGCAACGGCACGCUGUUGCUGCAACAUGUGAAAGAAGACAGAGAAGGUUUCUACCUAUGCCACGCGAACAACGGCAUAGGAAGCGGCUUAGGCAAGGUCGUGCAGUUAAAAGUCAAUUCAUCUCCGUAUUUCGCCGCACCAUCGCGACUCGUAACCGUAAAGAAAGGAGACACGGCGACGUUACACUGCGAGGUACACGGCGAUAAGCCGGUUACCGUUACUUGGCUGAAAGGCGGCAAAAGCGAGCUUAAUCCCUCGACGAAUUACCGCGUCGCAGUGAAGCAGGAAGUAACACCGGAUGGUAUCAUCGCGCAACUGCAAAUCUCAUCGGCGGAAGCCGCCGACAGCGGUGCGUAUUUUUGCCAGGCGAAUAAUCUUUACGGCCGCGAUCAGCAACUGGUGCAACUCCUCGUGCAAGAGCCACCACAACCACCGAACGCCCUAGAAACUGCCAUGGUGGCGAGUCGUAGCAUUAACGUUAAGUGGCAACACAAGUCGCAGGACACUAGCGAAGUCACCAAAUACAUUCUUCAGUACAAGGAGGGUGAAGGUGGUAUGUGGCAGCAUCAAGAAUUUACCGGACCACCAUUGCCGUAUGCGGCAUUAAUCGAUGACCUGAAACCAGCCACAAGAUAUACUAUACGCGUGAUAGCGGAAGGUCCAGCGGGUCGAUCUGUCCCUUCGGCGGAACUUGUCGUCAGGACCGAACCGCAGAGACCAGCUGGUCCGCCGAUGAAUCUCGCAGCUCGAGCUCUUUCCUCCUCCGAGAUUCUCAUCAGUUGGUCACCGCCGUUGUCGGAACUUCGUCACGGUGAUAUACAAGGUUUCAACGUCGGUUACAAAGAAACGAGUUCGAGCAAUCCAUCGUAUAACUUCAGCUCUGUAUCAGGCGAUGGAGAGGAAGGUGGCGGAGAGCUUCGACUUACAGGUCUCAGGCCUUACACUAGAUACACUCUAGUCGUUCAGGCUUAUAAUCAGGUUGGGCCAGGACCUUUGUGCGAACCAUUGCUCACGCAGACGUUGGAAGACGUUCCUAGCAUGCCACCAGACGACGUAAGAUGCGCGGCACUCACUUCUCAGUCUUUGCAAGUGUCCUGGCAACCUCCGCCGAAUACGCACAGCAACGGUAUUAUUCAAGGCUACAAAUUAAAUUACGAACCACUUUUGGCGGACGCGUGGCGAGGAGUAGAUGAAAUGGAGGUUCGCAAAACGAACGCUCUAACAACGGUUCUAACUGGACUUAGGCGGUACACUAAUUAUACUAUCCAAGUUUUGGCUUUUACCAGAAUCGGCGACGGUGUGCCCUCCACAACAAUUUACUGUCAGACGGAGGAAGAUGUGCCAGGCAGUCCGGCUGAUAUCAAAGUCGUAGUAAGCUCACCGCAAGCUCUCUUUAUCUCAUGGUUACCUCCACUCGAACCGAAUGGAGUUAUUACGAAGUACAAUCUUUAUACAAGAGUCGUUGAUGGACGGGAAGAACUCAAUCACGGUAAGAAGACGUUACCGGCCACAAGCACGUAUUUCGAGGCGACCGACUUGCAACAACACGUGGAGUAUCAAUUCUGGGUAACCGGCAGUACCCGGAUGGGCGAAGGUCAGAGUUCGAGGGUGACGGCGCAGGUGCCAACAAAUCGAGUGCCAGCCAGAAUCACGUCCUUCGGCGGACACGUGGUCCGUCCAUGGCGGAGUUCGGCCACUUUGGCAUGUAACGCGGUCGGAGAUCCGACGAGAGAAUGGUACAAGGGCACCACGGAGCAAUUGCGCACCGAUUCCGCCAGAAACGUGCAAAUUUUGACGACCGGAGAGCUCGUAUUAUCGAAUCUUCAGUCGCAGGACAGCGGGAAUUACACCUGUCAGGUGGAGAACUCUCAAGGCAGCGAUAAGCUGCAUUAUACUCUCACGGUGCAAGUUCCACCCAACGCACCUGUAUUAUAUGUAACCAGCUCUACGUCGAGUAGUAUAUUAUUACAUUGGAAAUCCGAGCAUAACGGUGGUGCACCAUUGACGGGUUACACACUAUAUUAUCGAACUACUCACGGUACUCUCGAUGAGUUACAAUUAUCUCGUCAUGCUACUAAUCACGAAUUGAAGGGGCUUCUGUGCGGCAACACGUAUCAGUUGUAUCUAACAUCGCACAAUAAGAUUGGCAGUAGUCCGCCAUCUCCGGUGCUCUCGGUUCGAACUCAGGGUCAAGCUCCAGGAAUCCCACCAGCAGCCGCUUUCGUCAGCCCGAACUCUACUACUUUGGUGCUACGAUUGCACGUCUGGCCCGAUAAUGGGUGCCCCAUUAAGUAUUUUGUUAUUCAAUACAAACCUAUGAAUGAGUUUCACUGGACUCUAGUAUCAAACAACGUCAAAAUGCAACGGCGAUUCGUUGUGACAAAUUUAGCACCCAGCUCAGUCUAUCAGCUCAAGGUCGAGGCUCAUAAUGUAGCCGGUAGUAAUCAAGCAGAGUUCACGUUCGUAACGUUGACGAAGGAAGGUGAAUCACCGCCUCCAGGAUUGUCAAAACGGGGAAUAACGUCGGCUAUGCCAUUUUAUGCAGAUGUCAAAGUGAUUCUGCCAUUGAUCGUGGCUACUAUCGCGCUGGUCGCCGCAGUGAUAAUUGUCGCCUUUCGUUGGAGGAAUAGAUAUUUAGGAGGUCAAGUGCAACGGCCGAUGAAAGAAUCACAAGAGAAUCAACAAAAUGCCGAGACGCAACGAGAGCGUUAUUAUGCCACGAUACACAAAGUGGCUCUGCAAGCGGCGAAUACGGGCGCUGGGCCCGACAAGAUUCCAGACAGCGGAGGACAUUUCGCCGUACGCUACGUUCCAGCUUUCGGAGGGUGGCGGGGGAAGCCUGGCAGGGUUGGGCGCAUUGGGAGGACUGGGAGGCGCGGCGGAGGCCACAGCGGCCGGUCUUCAUCCGAACAAUACUCUUCUUCACAGCUUCAUGUAUCACGAGCAUGCCAUGACCGAAGGAUGCGCGAGUCCUCCACCGGCAGCAACGAGCAUGAAGAGUGUCUCGUCGAGAAGGCGACAACAGAGAAAACAACAAACUCCGGGCGAUGUCGAGAGCGACGAGAGCGAGUCUGACCCGGAUCAACUGAUAAGUUCGCGCACGGAAUCAUCGAAUCAACUGGAUGCCGGCAAACUAAAACAUAUUCGCGCGGUUUCGGAUUUUAUCUAUCAUGGCACGUCGAGCACUUCUUCGGAUAUUUCUCCCAUGUCCGAACAGAAGUCACUGCCACGAAGGGGGCGAUCAAGGAGCUCUCUACGCACGCUACUACCGCCGAUCUCGGUCGCGGAGACCGCGUUCGUCGGCAAUCAGGGGGCGGUUGUGCCUACGCCG
rnacentral:misc_RNA from 1 species